CGAACGAACGGCUGGCGGCGCGUCUUAAGCAUGCAAGUCGAGCGGUAUGGAGAAGCUUGCUUCUCCAGAGAGCGGCGGACUGGUGAGUAACACGUGGGUGACCUACCCUUAGGAUGGGGAUAGCCACUAGAAAUAGUGGGUAAUACCGAAUGUGGUUGCGAGACUGUGGUCUUGCAAAGAAAGGAGCUACGGCUCCGCCUGAGGAUGGGCCCGCGUCCCAUUAGCUAGUUGGUGAGGUAACGGCCCACCAAGGCGAUGAUGGGUAGCCGGCCUGAGAGGGUGAACGGCCACAUUGGAACUGAGAGACGGUCCAAACUCCUACGGGAGGCAGCAGUGGGGAAUAUUGCGCAAUGGAGAAGAACUCUGACGCAGCAAUACCGCGUGAGCGAAGAAGGUCUUCGGAUCGUAAAGCUCUGUUAUCAGGGAAGAAGAAAAUGACGGUACCUGAUGAGCAAGUCCCGGCUAACUACGUG
rnacentral:rRNA from 1 species